UUCUCAAGUCAUGCACAGUCAUUCUCCAACAUUCAGAUCCGUAGAGUAGUACAGAGAGUGCACAAGCUUGGUAGAUCUUAAUCUUCGUUCUUCUGCUGUAGUUUCUGCUUCUGCA